rnacentral:rRNA from 1 species
AAUCGGCAGUAGUACAACAGGGAUUGCCUUAGUAACGGCGAGUGAAGCGGCAAUAGCUCAAAUUUGAAAUCUGGCGUUUUUGGACGUCCGAGUUGUAAUUUGUAGAGGAUGUUUCGGUAUUAGCUCCGGUCUAAGUCCCUUGGAACAGGGUGUCGCAGAGGGUGAGAAUCCCGUACGCGACCGGCUGCUUUUGCCAUGUGAAACUCCUUCGACGAGUCGAGUUGUUUGGGAAUGCAGCUCUAAUUGGGAGGUAAAUUUCUUCUAAAGCUAAAUACUGGCCAGAGACCGAUAGCGCACAAGUAGAGUGAUCGAAAGAUGAAAAGCACUUUGGAAAGAGAGUUAAAAAGUACGUGAAAUUGUUGAAAGGGAAGCGCUUGCAAUCAGACCUGCUUGCAGUUGUUCAUCUAAGCUUUUGCCUAGUGCAUUCUUCUGCAAGUCAGGCCAGUAUCAGUUCGGGCGGUUGGAUAAAGAAUUCAGGAAUGUAGCUCCUUUCGGGGAGUGUUAUAGCCUGUUUUGUAAUGCAACCAGCCCGGAUUGAGGACCGCGCUUCGGCUAGGAUACUGGCGUAAUGGUUGUAAGCGGCCCGUCUUGAAACACGGACCAAGGAGUCUAACAUCUGUGCGAGUGUUUGGGUGUCAAACCCAUGCGCGUAAUGAAAGUGAACGGAGGCGGGAACCUUUUAGGUGCACCGUCGACCGAUCCUGAUGUCUUCGGAUGGAUUUGAGUAAGAGCAUAGCUGUUGGGACCCGAAAGAUGGUGAACUAUGCUUGAAUAGGGUGAAGCCAGAGGAAACUCUGGUGGAGGCUCGCAGCGGUUCUGACGUGCAAAUCGAUCGUCAAAUUUGGGCAUAGGGGCGAAAGACUAAUCGAACUAUCUAGUAGCUGGUUCCUGCCGAGUCUCGUGUCGAUGAAUGCAUACCA